AUUUUUUUUUACAUUUAUUUAUUUUUGAGAGACAGAGUGAGACUAAGUGAGAGUAGGGGAGGAGCAGAGAGAGAGGGAGACACAGAAUCGGAAGCAGGCUCCAGGCUCUGAGCUGUCAGCACAGAGCCCAACGCGGGGCUCGAACUCACAGACCGCGAGAUCAUGACCUGAGCUGAAGUCGGACGCCCAACUGAUGGAGCCAUCCAGGCGCCCCUACGCAUUCUUUAAAGGAUACCUGACUGACUACAAAGAAUUUGAAUACUGAAGCUUGAUUCAGAGACUGCUACUUCUGUGUUUUAGGAACAUUUAUUCACUCACCUGGUUGCUGCCGGAAAGAACUCAGUGUGGAACAAACGGAGCUGGUUGAAGGGCAUUUGUUGGAAGAGGAAAAUGCCAUACUAAAGGAGUUUUGUUGGGCUUUCACUGAAUAGAUUGCUUUGAGUGCUCAGCUACCUUAUAUAGGUGAAAGCAGGUACCUAUAUCAGCAAAGCAUGAAAAAUUCAUUUCUGUAGGCUGUUUCCUGAUGCAGAGGACCAAAAGAUACCCAGGCUCUGACUAUACAUAAUUUAAAGUCCAGAGGCGGGCAGGCUCCUAGCGUCACAGUUUGGUGG
rnacentral:lncRNA from 1 species